rnacentral:lncRNA from 1 species
CAUAGCAACUUCAUUUCUUAUUUAUUUAUAUAUACAUCAAACGACAAGUGGAUUACAUUGGGAAAUUCAAAAUGUCAGGACUACUAACUACUGGAUUAUAUGUCAGUCACCCAUCCCCACCAAGCUAUAGACGUGUCGCCCCCUAACCCCUAAAAUUGUCAAAAUCUCCUUAGCUCCAAAAAUCCAACUUCCAUCCUACCUCCCUUCUAUGCUACGGGGCUAUCUCCAUCUCCUAGCCAGUUGGAGAAUAGUGGGAGUGCACCCAUCGCAUACCUAUUGACACAAGCAUACAUCUCGACGAAUCAAUGGUGACUUGCCCUAUCGAGAGCCCCACAUCAACAACCAUGCGAGAAUUGAACGGAUAAAAAUGGUAUUCAGAAAACCGGGGUCUACGAACCUGUUCUCUUCCCACAUGAAGUUUACUGGCACCCCGUAAUGGACUAUCGAGGAGAUGGGUGGGAUUGACAUUUUAUUGAUCUAAAAAGAUGAAGUCAACAACCAAUAAGUUAUAAACCAACAAGCAAACAGUCCACUGGUCUAUACUACACAAAUCGAGCACCGUAUUAAUAAAGAAAAGCCUCAAUAGAAAGUUCAAUAAAUCACACGCACAUCAACUUACCCGAGAACCCUUUCAAAAUACAUGACAGACCAAUAUAGGUAAUAAUGUUUCCCAACGUAUAACUAGUAGUUCAAUUCAGAAAUACUUAGGUCAUAAUCAAUAUAAUUUCAUGCUGUCAUCAUCAUCCGGGGAACUCCGUUACCCUUUUCGGCAUCUUACACCCAUCUAGCAUCGCGAGGGCAUUUAAGUGAAACCACGUUACACCCCCUAGGCAUUUGGAGGAACCCAUUACCCUUCCAGGCAUCCCGACUACAACUCGAGGCAUUGUCGUCUCAAGGUCUGACGGCAUUCUCAAUCCCACAUUCACACCAUGAUGCAAUAAUUUCAUAAUUCAAUUAAAGUACGUUAACGUCACUACUAUUCAGGAACUCAAGCGCGCAUCUAAUGAAUCAUCAUUCGUCUUCAUCCCUUAGACUAAUGUAAAUUAUCCGUACAGAUAUUAAGUGAACUGUAAGGAAGGUCCCACAUCCUAUGCCUAAAAUAGCCUUAUAGGGUGUCCCGCACACCUUUAGAAACGAUAGUUGUUGUCUAGGUAAAUGUCUUCCAAAAAUUAUGAAAUUUUAAUAUGAGGUAGAAAAGACCUAGUAGGACAUUUUUUGCAGGGGAUCGAAGUUCGAUUCAGCUCAUACAAUUCUAAAUAAUUUUUGUAAACUGGGCCCAAAGCAGUCAAAAUUUUCAAGCCAAAUUGGGUAGGAAAACAAAUAUUUCAUUGACCAAAUGAGACUGAGAAAUUAUGGAAAAUUAAUAUAUGGUAGCCUAGGAUGUACUCUGCAACUUUCAUGAGGACACGUGUUAUAAUUCUAGACUGAAAAAUCUAUGGAAAAUGGAAAACAAGGAGAGGUCGGUGUAGUAAGUCCAAAAACAUAUUUCAAAUCCCAAAGUUUUUUAAAUAUAUUUUUGUCGUAUGAAAUCCAAAAAUAUUGAAAUUAAAGUAUGUCAUAGAACAGUCAAUAAAUGAUGAAUUUUGUGAAAAAAACGCCCCAUGAAAUUUGCACCACCUAAGUUAGUGCAAAAUUAGCAAACUUUGGGGUUAGGCUAGAACCGAACCUAACCUUAGUCCCAACAUGGAUUUAAUUUAGAAUUUCAACUAACUCAACCUCCACACGUGCUAAAUAUUGACCGAUCAUGCUCCUAUGAUUCAACCACAAGUUUGACUAGUACAAACUCGACAAGGUAUCUAGGUGACUUAAUCAAAACUUCUGUGUAAACGAAAAUCUAAACGACGUUUAUGAAUUUUCUAGGAAACUAUUCCUGUUGCACGGUAAACAAUUGACAUAGGAUAGAAUGGAGGAUGUCUAAUUGUCUCGGAUCCCAGAGACGCUGUCGCAUGGCUUGAUGAGGUCCCAGACGUCCCGACUUCUUGUUGUCCUCUGGCGAGUCACGCCAAGCCGAGGGUGCAGUGGAUGAAGACGUGUUGUCGGCUAGCUUCGGGGUUGCACACGAAGAAAAAGGGAGCAACGGAGAUAGAGCUGCGACUGUGGAAAAAUGGAGCUGAGAUCGGCUGAAAGUAAGGGGCGGUGGCUGAAUUUGCAAGAUUAAGAGGAGGAAUGGUGCUGCUGCUGCUGUUGAAAUCCACCCACCCCAUUUUUAGGCUUCUCUCCUUUCACCGCUUUGCUGUUGUCGCCCGUGGAAGUGGGUUGGUCAACGGUCUUCAUAAUUUCUUGCCAGCUGUGAAAACGUGUCACUUUUACGUAGCAAAUGCGGCAGCGAGGGGAGAAGUUCAGGAAUCUUCGUGUGACAGAGGAGAAACGUGGCGACGGCUUCAACGUUUUACAGGGAGGAGGAGAAUGAAAGAUAGGCAAUUUGUUCCCACGCCGAUCGUGGUCUUUGUGCCACAAAGAAAAGUUCAAUAAAUUUGCUAACCGUCCGAGCAGGCCGUCGAGCGAUCCUCACAAUUGCCGAAGAUAAUGUUGACUGGAGAGCAGUGUGACCACGCUCAAUGAAAACGGACGUCGGAGUUGUCAAUGAUGAGUAGUCACGAC